rnacentral:rRNA from 1 species
CCUACGGGUGGCAGCAGUGAGGAAUAUUGGUCAAUGGGCUUACGCCUGAACCAGCCAAGUCGCGUGAGGGAAGACUGCCCUAUGGGUUGUAAACCUCUUUUGUCAGGGAGCAACGCCGGCUACGUGUAGCCGGACUGAGAGUACCUGAAGAAAAAGCAUCGGCUAACUCCGUGCCAGCAGCCGCGGUAAUACGGAGGAUGCGAGCGUUAUCCGGAUUUAUUGGGUUUAAAGGGUGCGUAGGCGGAAUGCCAAGUCAGCGGUAAAAUCGCGGGGCUCAACCUCGCCCCGCCGUUGAAACUGGCGUGCUUGAGUGGGCGGGAAGUAUGCGGAAUGCGUGGUGUAGCGGUGAAAUGCAUAGAUAUGACGCAGAACUCCGAUUGCGAAGGCAGCAUACCGGCGCCCAACUGACGCUGAAGCACGAAAGCGUGGGUAUCGAACAGGAUUAGAUACCCCAGUAGUC